rnacentral:rRNA from 1 species
GUUUGUGAUGAUGCAAUCUACCCGCGGCUAGACGGAAAGACCCCAUGAACCUUUACUGUAGCUUUGCAUUGGACUUUGAACCGAUCUGUGUAGGAUAGGUGGGAGGCUAUGAAACCGGAACGCUAGUUUCGGUGGAGCCGUCCUUGAAAUACCACCCUGGUUUGUUUGAGGUUCUAACCUUGGCCCGUGAUCCGGGUCGGGGACAGUGCAUGGUAGGCAGUUUGACUGGGGCGGUCUCCUCCCAAAGCGUAACGGAGGAGUACGAAGGUACGCUAGGUACGGUCGGAAAUCGUGCUGAUAGUGCAAUGGCAUAAGCGUGCUUAACUGCGAGACCGACAAGUCGAGCAGGUGCGAAAGCAGGUCAUAGUGAUCCGGUGGUUCUGUAUGGAAGGGCCAUCGCUCAACGGAUAAAAGGUACUCUGGGGAUAACAGGCUGAUACCGCCCAAGAGUUCAUAUCGACGGCGGUGUUUGGCACCUCGAUGUCGGCUCAUCUCAUCCUGGGGCUGUAGCCGGUCCCAAGGGUAUGGCUGUUCGCCAUUUAAAGAGGUACGUGAGCUGGGUUUAAAACGUCGUGAGACAGUUUGGUCCCUAUCUGCCGUGGGCGUUGGAUAUUUGAAGGGGGCUGCUCCUAGUACGAGAGGACCGGAGUGGACGAACCUCUGGUGUACCGGUUGUCACGCCAGUGGCAUCGCCGGGUAGCUAUGUUCGGAAGAGAUAACCGCUGAAAGCAUCUAAGCGGGAAACUCGCCUUAAGAUGAGAUAUCCCUGGGGACUGGAUCCCCUUGAAGGGUCGUUCGAGACCAGGACGUUGAUAGGUCAGGUGUGUAAGCGCAGUAAUGCGUUCAGCUAACUGAUACUAAUUGCCCGUAAGGCUUGAUCCUAUAACA